GAUGAACGCUGGCGGCGUGCCUAAUACAUGCAAGUCGAGCGAACAGACGAGGAGCUUGCUCCUCUGACGUUAGCGGCGGACGGGUGAGUAACACGUGGAUAACCUACCUAUAAGACUGGGAUAACUUCGGGAAACCGGAGCUAAUACCGGAUAAUAUAUUGAACCGCAUGGUUCAAUAGUGAAAGACGGUUUUGCUGUCACUUAUAGAUGGAUCCGCGCCGCAUUAGCUAGUUGGUAAGGUAACGGCUUACCAAGGCAACGAUGCGUAGCCGACCCGAGAGGGUGAGCGGCCACACUGGAACUGAGACACGGUCCAGACUCCUACGGGAGGCAGCAGUAGGGAAUCUUCCGCAAUGGGCGAAAGCCUGACGGAGCAACGCCGCGUGAGUGAUGAAGGUCUUCGGAUCGUAAAACUCUGUUAUUAGGGAAGAACAAAUGUGUAAGUAACUAUGCACGUCUUGACGGUACCUAAUCAGAAAGCCACGGCUAACUACGUG
rnacentral:rRNA from 1 species